GUUUAUAUAGUUUAAAAAAAACAUUAUAUUUUCAAUAUAAAGUUAAUCAAUAGUUUAUAAAUU
rnacentral:tRNA from 1 species